CCUACGGGUGGCUGCAGUGAGGCAUAUUGGUCAAUGGCCGAGAGGCUGAACCAGCCACGUCGCGUGAGGGAAGACGGCCCUACGGGUUGUACACCACUGUCCCCAGGGACGAAGAUGCCGGUACCUGGUGCUGACGCUCCGGCUCACUACGUUCCAGCAGCCGCGGUCAUACGUAGGGAGCGAGCGGUGUCCGUAAUUACUGGGUGUAAAGGGAGCUUAGGCGGGGAUGCAAGUUGGGGGUAAAAACUACCGGCUAAACUGGUAGUCGCACUUAAAACUGCAGCUCUUGAGUGAAGUAGAGGCAGGCGGAAUUCCUAGUGUAGCGGUGAAAUGCGUAGACAUUAGGAGGAACACCAGUGGCGAAGGCGGCCUGCUGGGCUGUGACUGACGCUGAGGCUCGAAAGUGUGGGGAGCAAACAGGAUUAGAUACCCGUGUAGUC
rnacentral:rRNA from 1 species